rnacentral:rRNA from 1 species
GACGAACGCUGGCGGCGUGCUUAACACAUGCAAGUCGAACGGAAAGGCCCUGCUUUUGUGGGGUGCUCGAGUGGCGAACGGGUGAGUAACACGUGAGUAACCUGCCCUUGACUUUGGGAUAACUUCAGGAAACUGGGGCUAAUACCGGAUAGGAGCUCCUGCUGCAUGGUGGGGGUUGGAAAGUUUCGGCGGAUGGGGAUGGUCUCGCGGCUUAUCAGCUUGUUGGUGGGGUAGUGGCUUACCAAGGCGUUGACGGGUAGCCGGCCUGGGAGGUGGACCGGCCCCCUGGGGCCUGCGAUACGGCCCAGUAUCCUACGGGAGGCAGCAGUCGGGAAUAUUGCACAAUGGGCGGAAGCCUGAGGCAGCAACGCCGCGUGCGGGAUGACGGCCUUCGGGUUGUAAACCGCUUUCGCCUGUGACGAAGCGUGAGUGACGGUAAUGGGUAAAGAAGCACCGGCUAACUACGUG